UUAUAUGAAUAUUUAACCAUUUUAUAUUCAUAAUUUAAAAAUACUAUUUUAAAGGAAAAAAGCACUAACUACCUAAAUACAAAAAUAUAAAGUGUUCCGAAACAAACGAUGCUGCAAUCACAGUAGGUAGGCAGCUAACUAGUUUAAAAAGGCAACAUCUUUUGUGAAGAGCGCACGUUUCACGCGUAUCAUUUCUAAACAUAAAUACAAACGGCAAUAAUCUUAAACUUAGAAUAUAACCAAUUGUAAUAAAUUAAUUUAUUUUUAUCCCAAUUGUUUUGAGGGCUUUUUCUCAAAGACACAUCAGAAUGACGUCACCAGCAAUAAGUAAGACUCCGGAAAAACAGAAAUCUGAAAGCAAAUCUCCAUCUCACGCAUCGGUGGCCACUCAACAGGAUCUCCAGGCUUCAUCGAGGUCUACCCAACAAAUGCAAACAGAUCCACUCGGCUGCUUUAGAAUCUUCAAACUAGCGGGCCUUAUGAUGAAGCAAGGUUGUUGAACGCAUAGUUAUUAGGACGUUAUUUUGCUGUUAUCACAAAUUGUCGAAAUGAAACCUAUGAUGAGAUUUGAUUAGCCGUAGACAGUAAACGGUUUAUUUUUAUAUUCAUAAAAAAGAUAUUAUCUUAGACCGAAUAGAAACGGUUACCUAUAUCACUAGUAUUAUAAUAUGGAAGUAUUUAACUUAAGUAAGUAUUUAAUAUUAUACCAUUAAUAUAUAAUAUGAAAGUUAACAGUACUUUUUCAAUAGGUAGGAUGAGUUAUAUUUUACAAUUUAUUCUGAUAGAUUUCCGAGGCGAUUUCUA